rnacentral:tRNA from 1 species
GGGCCUGUAGCUCAGUUGGGAGAGCGUCUGCUUCGCAUGCAGAAGGCCGGGAGUUCGACUCUCCCCAGGUCCA